GACGAACGCUGGCGGCGUGCCUAAUACAUGCAAGUAGGACGCAGUUGCGAACGGGUGAGUUACGCGUAGGUAACUACCUAUUAGUGGGGGCUAACUAUUUUAAACGAUAGCUAAUACCGCAUACUAGUAGAUGGACCUGCGUUGUAUUAGCUAGUAGGUAGGGUAAUGGCCUACCUAGCCAAUGAUACAUAGACGGGCUGAGAGGGUGAGCGGCCACCAUGGGACUGAGACACGGCCCAGAGUCCUACGGGAGGCAGCAGUAGGGAAUCUUCGGAAAUGGGGGGAACCCUGACCGAGCAACGCCGCGUGAGUGAAGAAGGUUUUCGGAUUGUAAAGCUCUGUUGUUAAGGAAGCGGUACUUAACCAGAAAGGGACGGCUAACUACGUGCCAGCAGCCGCGGUAAUUC
rnacentral:rRNA from 1 species